rnacentral:rRNA from 1 species
UGGGGAAUAUUGCACAAUGGGGGAAACCCUGAUGCAGCGACGCCGCGUGAGUGAAGAAGUUAUUCGUAAUGUAAAGCUCUAUCAGCAGGGAAGAAAAUGACGGUACCUGACCAAGAAGCACCGGCUAAAUACGUGCCAGCAGCCGCGGUAAUACGUAUGGUGCAAGCGUUAUCCGGAUUUACUGGGUGUAAAGGGUGCGUAGGUGGCAUGGCAAGUCAGAAGUGAAAGGCCGGGGCUCAACCCCGGGACUGCUUUUGAAACUGUCAGGCUGGAGUGCAGGAGAGGAAAGCGGAAUUCCUAGUGUAGCGGUGAAAUGCGUAGAUAUUAGGAGGAACACCAGUGGCGAAGGCGGCUUUCUGGACUGAAACUGACACUGAGGCACGAAAGCGUGGGGAGCAAACAGG